rnacentral:rRNA from 1 species
AACGUAGGUUCCGAGCGUUAUCCGGAUUUACUGGGCGUAAAGCGCGUUCAGGCGGUUUGGCAAGUCGGGCAUGAAAUCUCUCGGCUCAACCGGGAGAGGUUGUCCGAUACUGCUGGACUUGAGGGCAGUAGAGGGUGGUGGAAUUCCGGGUGUAGUGGUGAAAUGCGUAGAUAUCCGGAGGAACACCAGUGGCGAAGGCGGCAUCCUGGACCGGUAUUGACGCUGAGGCGCGAAAGCUAGGGGAGCGAACAGG